rnacentral:rRNA from 1 species
GACGAACGCUGGCGGCGUGCUUAACACAUGCAAGUCGAACGGUGAAGGGGCCUGCUUUUGUGGGCCCUGGGUGAGUGGCGAACGGGUGAGUAACACGUGAGUAACCUGCCCCCUUCUUCUGGAUAACCGCAUGAAAGUGUGGCUAAUACGGGAUAUUCUGGGUCUGUCGCAUGAUGGGUCUGGGAAAGAUUGCGCCUUUGGGUGUUUUUGGUGGGGGAUGGGCUCGCGGCCUAUCAGCUUGUUGGUGGGGUGAUGGCCUACCAAGGCGGUGACGGGUAGCCGGCCUGAGAGGGUGGACGGUCACACUGGGACUGAGACACGGCCCAGACUCCUACGGGAGGCAGCAGUGGGGAAUAUUGCACAAUGGGCGCAAGCCUGAUGCAGCGACGCCGCGUGAGGGAUGGAGGCCUUCGGGUUGUAAACCUCUUUCGCCAGUGAAGCAGGCCUGCUCCUUGUGGGUGGGUUGACGGUAGCUGGAGAAGAAGCGCCGGCUAACUACGUG